rnacentral:RNase_P_RNA from 15 species
GGAGUCGGCCAGACAGUCGCUUCCGUCCUGGUGACGGGGGAGGAAAGUCCGGGCUCCAUAGGGCAGGGUGCCAGGUAACGCCUGGGGGGCGAGAGUCCACGGAAAGUGCCGCAGAAAAGAUACCGCCGACCCCGUCCUCGGACGGGAGGUAAGGGUGAAAUGGUGCGGUAAGAGCGCACCGCGCUGGUGGCAACAUCAGUGGCAGGGUAAACCCCACCCGGAGCAAGACCAAAUAGGGGAACUCGCGGCUUCGACCGCAGCGCGCGGCCCGCGCGUGUUCCCGGGUAGGUCGCUAGAGGCGUGCGGCGACGCACGUCCCAGAUGAAUGACUGUCCACGACAGAACCCGGCUUAUCGGCCGACUCCCUUC